AUGUGGCCGACGCGGGUCAAAGUGUACUAUCUGUUCUUAUAAGCUUAGUAUCAGAUACGGGCUUUACUUGGACCCAAGAUAUUAAACUUACUUUUGCAAGUUGGCGGAGUGUGCUUGCAGCCUGCUUCACCUCCGCCGCAGGUCGGCCCGGUAUUAUGCUAUCUUCGGGAUCGGCCCACUGUUU